rnacentral:rRNA from 1 species
UACGGAAGGCAGCAGUGGGGAAUAUUGCACAAUGGGCGAAAGCCUGAUGCAGCUAUGCCGCGUGUAUGAAGAAGGCCUUAGGGUUGUAAAGUACUUUCAUCGGGGAGGAAAAAACAAAACUAAUAAUUUUAUUUCUUGACGUUACCCGAAAAAGAAGCACCGGCUAACUCCGUGCCAGCAGCCGCGGUAAUACGGAGGGUGCUAGCGUUAAUCAGAAUUACUGGGCGUAAAGAGCACGUAGGUGGUUUUUUUAAAGUCAGAUGUGAAAUCCCUGGGCUUAACCUAGGAACUGCAUUUUGAAACUGAAAUACUAGAGUAUCGUAGAGGGAGGUAGAAUUCUAGGUGUAGCGGUGAAAUGCGUAGAUAUCUGGAGGAAAUACCUGUGGCGAAAGCGGCCUCCUAAACGAAUACUGACACUGAGGUGCGAAAAGCGUGGGGAGCAAAACAGGGAUUAGAUACC